rnacentral:rRNA from 1 species
AUGAACUUAGUAGAUCAUUUUAGGAGGCCCUCAAUGACCAUAGAUCGAACCUAUCCUCUUUUUACAGUGCUUUGACUGGCUAUUUAUGGACUAGUUGUAUCUACUCUUUUUUCUUGGGAUCAAUGUCAGCAAUGCACUUCAUCCAAUGAUAAACCAAAUUCCAACUGUAGAACUAUGACACAAUCAACCCGAAUGAACAAAAUGUUGAAUUUUUUACAUAGCAAAAGGAUUUGGCCCUAG